rnacentral:rRNA from 1 species
AACUUUUAACAAUGGAUCUCUAGGCUCUCACAUUGAUGAAGAACACAGUGAAAUGUGAUAAGUAAUGUGAAUCGCAGAAUUCAGUGAAUCAUCAAAUCUUUGAACGCACCUUGCACCUUUUGGUAUUCCAAAAGGUACACCUGUUUGAGUGUCA